AAACUUUCAACAACGGAUCUCUUGGUUCUGGCAUCGAUGAAGAACGCAGCGAAAUGCGAUAAGUAAUGUGAAUUGCAGAAUUCAGUGAAUCAUCGAAUCUUUGAACGCACAUUGCGCCCUUUAGCAUUCUAGUGGGCAUGCCUGUUCGAGCGUCAUUU
rnacentral:rRNA from 1 species